GCUGGGCAUGGUGGCGCAUGCCUGUAAUCCCAGUGGCUCUGGAGGCUGAGAUAGGAGGAUGAUGAGUUCAAAGCAAACGAGGUGCUAAGCAACUCAGUGAGCUUCUGUCUCUA
rnacentral:sRNA from 1 species